AAACAUACAAACUGAGAUCUAACAUCAAUAUGUUAUGUACAAUUUCAUCUUAAAAUGUCAAAACUUUUGAAACAAUACAAAUAUGAUCUCUAGGCUACCCCAGAAAACGACAAUUUUCUUUUGAAUCAUUGUUUAAAACAAUGUGAUAUAACCAAGCCUUUGAGUAUGUCGCAGUAACAUUGUUUGUGUUUCCUUAUCAUUUUCAGACUAAUAGCAUUCAGAACGUUGCACAUCUAGGCCAAAGAAACAUCUGAACCUUAUAAAAAGGUUAAGCUUUUCACAUGCUAGUCUCCAGCCACUCUGUCAAGACAUCCUUGUAAAUCUGAAGGGGAAUUUAAGAGGUAGCAACACACACCGAUGGACAAAAAAGUAGCUCACUGACAAUCUGUCAGUUACUGCACACCACAACAAGACUAUAAGGUUCAAGUUUGUGAGAGUGGUAAAGAGAAAGGAAACCACAGAAGCAAGUGCCCCAGAUAAGAAAUUGCUUACAUCCCACUCAGUGUGGGACUGGGUGGGUUGCUUCCCACAGGGUAUGUACCAAUGUGCAGAGAGCACACUUCGACAGAUGCCAUCAGAGAACAAGCAUAUGAAUUACCAGGCAGCCUGCCAUCUAGCGAGUUCACACAGAAUGCCAUUAAUACCUGAUGAACAGUCAGACAACAACACAACAACAACAUGAAAGCCGUGGCAACUGGGACCCAGGUAAAAGUUCCAUCAUUUAUAUAUUAAUGGUUUUAUUAACAAAGACUUCCAACUAGCAGCUAGCGAAACCCCUCAAAAGUUACAAUGAUGGAGGCGUCAAAGUUUGAUGCCAGGCUGCAGCAACCAGGGGACCCGUCAGCGAAUCACGUCCCGAUGAAUAAAAGAUAACGCCACUGUUGACCAAUAACUAAUUCAGAAGCCAUGAGAUAUUAAUGGAUACAAUUAAAGAAAACACAAUCCUUUUAAAUUUAAAUUGCGGUAGAUAUUAGCAUUAUCCAAUGAAGUCACAAUUUAUAUUAAGGAGGUAAAGUACCUUUACAAGAGUACUAUAAUUGGAUGGGAUCAGUGAAUCUGUUAUUGGGGCUUAAUUAGAAACGCAUAAAGGAAAGGCUUUGUUAAGUCUUUAAAUGUUCAUUACUAAAAUAGGGCACACGAUGUUAUGAUCUACGUUAUAUUUUUCAUUAUUAUUAUACAAUUAAUAGUCAACCAAUGAUUAAAUGCAUAAAAUAUCU
rnacentral:lncRNA from 13 species